UUUAAUCCUUUCAAUGAAUUGGCGGGCUUGAACAGAGCAGAUAUGUCCGGAUCUGUAAGUGAACGCAAGAAUGUUAACCAGUGAAAUGAAUUGCCGGGAUGGAAAAACCCUCUUCACUCUGAGACUAUUGAUGUGGCAUUUCUGUAUAUGGAAGGGACUGAUUUAUAUGUGUGGGAAACAUGGAUUCUAAGAACAGAUAAACAACAGAAAAAGUGAUAAGUGAUGCAAAUAUGACCUUUCAAAACUCUACAGUUAGAACUUGAAGACUCUUAUAUCAAAGUGAUAUUUAGUAGUGGACAUAGUGAUGAGGAGUGUACUUGAGAAACAUUGAACUUUCUACCUCUUCCUUCUUUUAGUUACAUUCCAUGGAAUACUUUAAUGAAAGUGAAAGUGGCAAAGAAUAUAUUGUGAUACAUUUUAGGAGGAAAAAAGUAUUUGACCAAACAUGGUGAAAUUAAUUGUGUCGUAUAAUCUGGGAAAUAAAAAUUACAGAAUUUAAUUAAUUUUGUAAGACAUUUGUAUUGAGGAAUAAUUGUGUCAUUGAUAUUUCAAGAAUCAGCUGCUUUGUAUCAACG